CACAUGACUCUCGGCAACGGAUAUCUCGGCUCUCGCAUCGAUGAAGAACGUAGCAAAAUGCGAUACCUGGUGUGAAUUGCAGAAUCCCGUGAACCAUCGAGUUUUUGAACGCAAGUUGCGCCCGAGACCUUCUGGUUGAGGGCACGUCUGCCUGGGCGUCACGC
rnacentral:rRNA from 3 species